rnacentral:rRNA from 1 species
GCUUAGCCUUAAACCUAGAUGUUAAUACUACAACUACAUCCGCCAGGGUACUACAAGCGCUAGCUUAAAACCCAAAGGACUUGACGGUGUCUCAGACCCACCUAGAGGAGCCUGUUCUAGAACCGAUAAUCCCCGUUAAACCUCACCACCCCUUGUUUUUUCCGCCUAUAUACCGCCGUCGCAAGCUUACCCUGUGAAGGUCUAAUAGUAAGCAAAAUGGUAAUACACCAAAAUGUCAGGUCGAGGUGUAGCUCACGAGGUGGGAAGAAAUGGGCUACAUUUUCUACUUCAGAAUAUUACGAAUAAUACUAUGAAAUUAGUAAUUGAAGGUGGAUUUAGCAGUAAAAAAUAAACAGAGAGUCUUUUUGAACCAGGCUCUGAGACGCGU